rnacentral:rRNA from 1 species
GACGAACGCUGGCGGCGUGCCUAAUACAUGCAAGUAGAACGCUGAAGGAGGAGCUUGCUUCUCUGGAUGAGUUGCGAACGGGUGAGUAACGCGUAGGUAACCUGCCUGGUAUCGGGGGAUAACUAUUGGAAACGAUAGCUAAUACCGCAUAAUAGUAGAUGUUGCAUGACAUUUGCUUAAAAGUUGCAAUUGCAUCACUACCAGAUGGACCUGCGUUGUAUUAUCUAGUUGGUGAGGUAACGGCUCACCAAGGCAACGAUACAUAGCCGAGCAGAGAGGGUGAUCUGACACACAGGGAAUGAGACACGGCCCAGAGUCCUACGGGAGGCAGCAGUAGGGAAUCUUCGGCAAUGGACGGAAGUCUGACCGAGAAACGCCGCGUGAGUGAAAAAAGGUGUCGGAUCGUAAAGAUCUGUUGUAAGAGAAGAAAGAGUGUGAGAGUGGAAAGUUCACACUGUGACGGUAUCUUACCGGAAAGGGACGGCUAAAUACGUG